GCAGCUCCCCAGACCUGGCUGUCUGGAGAAUCUCCUUUCCCACCCACUUCCCUUUGCAUAGGGAUGGAGUCCCGCUCACAGGGGUUCAGCAGAACUGAGUCCCAGGACUGGGAAGUGGGGGGCCAGCUGGGGAAGGCCCUCCCACUUCUCUUCUCUCUGCACUUCUGUGCUGUCCCUUCGGCUCACAGGAAGACCCUCACUCCUGACCCUGCCCUCCGGGGACCUCCUCAGCUCCGGGGGAGGCUGGCCUGAGGAUUGCAGGGUCCAUGUGGGCCCUCUGGGCUCUGCAGGACCCUUGGGAGCAGUGUUUAAGUCAGAGCCUUUGGCUUACUUAAGACGAGUUCCCAGUUUUCCUUUUAAGGUCCUUGUUAGGAUGAAGUUAGAGUCUUUAUUGUCACAGCUCAAAUGUGUUUGACAAGUACUGCAGGAAAUCGUAAGGUGUUGGCAGUCCGUCUUCACCAGUGGGGACGGACCCACUCCCUGUCUCGGCCGGCUGCUCGUCGGGUCCAUGCACCCAGCAGCCGCUGGCCGUCACUUGCAGGGUGGCCGGUGUGCAGUGGUCAGAAGAUGAAACCCUUCCGAGUUCAGGACGAGCUCCGAGAGGGACCUUCCCUUGGAGAGCGUGAGUCUGGCAUUUACCAUCGGGGAGUGGGUUCUGUGUGUGGUUGGGGUGUGUGGAGAGCUAGCUUCCUCCUCGUGUUUUCAUUCAGGCAAGGUGGUAGCUGGAAAAGGACUGCUCGUCAGUCCCUGUGACUCGGACUCCAGAAGGCCGCUGGGCCCUGACCUCAGCUCGGCCGCAGGCCACGUGCUGCUCAGGCUUCACUGGGCUUCCUUCUCUGCCUGGUCCCCUGACUCGGUUUCCCCCCGGAGAGGUGCCUGGCAGCUGUGGGCUUCCCUUCGGAUGGCCUGGGUGCAGCACGAGGGACUCUGUGUCCAGGCAUAGGCUCUGGGAGCCGUUCUGGAGCCCGAAGGAGUCGGCUGUGCUCGGUGUGCGGGCCAGAGGCGGCCGAGGGCCCAUGCCCGGAGGAGACACCGGCAAUCCUGGCGAGUGAGUGUUGGGCAGACACAGGAGCUCUUCUUCUGGACCGAGUGAGGGUUCAACAUUACAAGUGUCAGCAGAAACAGGGAGAAAAUUCCAGUCUGCAGAACUGAUCUCAUCCGUUUGAAAGCCAGGUAGAAGUCCGGCUUGCGCUGGGCUGGUCCCCACUGGCCAAGUGACGUGUCCUCCUUCUGACGGGAGAUGCUGGGCUCUCUCUUGUGCGUCCACAGCAGGAAGAACCUGGAAUAGAUGCCCGCGGGGCGGCCGAGCUCUGCCAUCAGAGCGCGGGGCUGUGAGGGGGUGCUGGCCCCCGGACUCCACGAGCCGGACCCCGCGUGCCUCGUGAGCCCCGUGUCAGCCUGAGUAAGGUCUCCUGAGGCUGCCAUCCAGCCCUGGUACACUCAGCCCUUAAUGGUGACACUUUCCAGACAUGUCUGGGGUAUGCAGGAAAAUACCAGGGAAUGCAGUUUACUUAAAAACACAUUUUGUGGUGAAUUCCAUGUAAAAGCAAGGAAACUUCCCUGAAUUUGAGGCUUCUGCAGCCGCCCGCUCAGUGCCCAUGCCACGGCUCGCCCCGUGUGGCCGGCUCCCCAGGAGCAGGUGGCUCUGUGCGCUCUGGUGUGCGGACUCCGAGUCUGUCCCCGGGCACGAGUGGGGCUUUACUGGUGCGAACGAUAAUCUGACAGCUUGAAAUCUUCCACAUUGAUCAUUCCAAUGGUUUAUAUUUUGUUUUGAAGUUAAUUUUGAAAGAUGGAAGUUGCAGGUUCUCCGUCCCGGCCCCUGGGCUUCUCUCCAGAUGUUUCAUGUCCACCAUCAGCCUCAUGGACAAAACCUGAGACAUCGCCAGACAUGAUUACUCAUGUUCAAUUAAAACAAAAAAAAUUACUGGCGUGCUGUAAACCGUAAAGGGCGGGAAAGCCAAGGAAGAGCCCCUGUUCCCUCGGGGGGGUCCCCUUUGCCUGGCUGGCGGACAUCACUCGUCUCCUGAUUUUUUCUUUACUCUGGAACCUGUUACUUCUCCUCUUUCUCAACAUUCUGGGGGUACAGAGCUUCACCCGAAGAUCCCCAGUGAAGAAAGAAUGACCAGACCCCCUCCGUGUGUCCCAGGCACUCUGUGCUUCUGGGGGGUUUUCUUGGGCCCCUUUUUCCAGCGGUUCGUUCCAGACCUGGUUGCCCAGUGAUCCUCACCUGAAGGUGGGGGGUCCGGCCGUCCUGCCCCAGAAGGAGCAGGCCUGUUCCGGAGCCUGGGAGGUCAGAGGCCCACCAGGAUCAUGCGGGCUUUUGUUCUGGGGUCAGGUGUGAAGGGGAAGCUUAACCACUGAUUAGGCCCUUUCUUGACCUUUGUCCGGGUGAAUUUUCACUUAAGAAGAGAAGCCUGAUUGAGACACGAUUAACAUUGUAAAAGCUGCACCUGUGCAAAGUGUUUCUGCUGUGACCUUUGUUAUUUCCGUUCUACUCUGGACCCCGCUCGUCCUGGUCCUGUGCCUGCGCCUGCCCUGGUUGGCGCCCCGCUGAGCGCUCCUUGCUCCGCACAUUCCCUUCGGUCUUACGUCAGCCAUAGGGUCCUGCGAGUCUCCUGCGUCGGUCUCCCCAGAAGCACAGCACCAUCCCCGCUCCUAGGCAGGGACUGGGAUGCUUGUGUGGUCUCAGGGAUCCUGUCCUCUGCUGGCUGAUCUGUGCUGUCCUCACAACGCUUGUUCGUGUAUUUGGGGAGCUUUUGGUGGCUUCAGACGGGAGAGCAAGUCCAGCCCCUGUAAUUCCAUCUUGUUCGGAAGUGUGAGUCCCCAUUCAUUUUUGUUUCUAAUUUUAAAAAGGAAACAACAAACUUUAAAUUCUGCUACAAUAACGUGUAUUAAAAAGUAAAAAUUAGAAGGAAAUAACCACUGGGUUCACCUGCUCACGUCUAGAUUUAAAGACAGUUAGGAACUGUUGGCCGCUGCUAGUUCCCUUUUGCCUUGGGGUGCUGUGGGUCUGGGGCUGUCGCUGCAGCCACCGUAAGGAGCACUCCCCGUGUCUCCGUGGGCCGAAACAACCUGAGUGUUUACUGCACUCACAGACCGCCUUGCGGACGCUCCGGCUUGGGCAGCUGUCCUUGGGGGUUCUGCUCCGAGCCAGGGGGCGGCACACCGUGGCUGUGGAUAGCUGCCCAUCAUGGGUUAGGCUGGUCUGUACCAGAAACUCCCACGCCCCGUCGCUGACGUCGUAGCCAGGGCCCCUUCCAACCACACACGCAGAGCUGCGGGUUGGGACGCGCCAGGAUACUACAUCUGACUCUUGAAGCGGGUGCUUGCUGUGACAGUGACUCAGGGACCCAGGCUCUGGCCAUCCUGUCGCUCUGCGGCCCUUACCGCCUGGUCCUCCACGCUGUCCCAGCAGCGGGGAGAGGGUGAGAGAACCCAGGGAAGGCCUCGCAUGCUGGGUGCUGCCCCCUGUCCCAACCCGGGGAAUGCUGCUUAGUGCGUGCCCAGGAAGGGCCAGUGCAUUUUGGGCAUUUCCUGAGUUUCUGCCUCUGCUGUGCUAUACUCGGUCGUCCACGAUGCCUGUGUUCCUCGUCAAGCCCCUCGUCCUCUGCCCUCCGCCACGGGCACUGCUGUCCACGCUCACCGAGCAGCUCCGAGCUCUCGCCCCUUCUGUCCCCAAGGUCUGCUAGAUGCCGGGCUGCUGCUGGCCUCGGGGCUCCGUGCACCGUGACUACAGGUCUUCCCCCCGGACCCCUGUGUUGCUUCGCUCUGGCUCUGGGCUGCAGCACGUGCCACCGCGGCUACAUGGGGCUAUCAACCUGCCCCCCCUUCUUCUGACAAAAUAAUUUUGUUAUUUGGGGUUAACGGCAGUUUAUCCCCCAUUGAGAGUUGCCUGGUGUGAUCGUCUUCGGUGGGCGGAGAACAGGCCAGUGGUAGUGAGUCCGACAUCAGAGCCACAUCUCCCGGGAGCCGGCUGUGAACUGCAGACUUCUCCCAAUGGCGGCAGAUUUGGGCUUGCGUCCCUCCCGCGCGCGUACAGAGGUCAGGCGCCACGGAGUGGGGGGCAGAAGGAGAAAACCCAAGAGGCAUAGGACCUCAGGUUGGGUCGUGAGCUUCUGUUGUGUUUCCGAGGUCCCUACUCUGGAUCGAACCCGUGCUGCUCCUGCAGCCUGCGUGCCACGUCGCAUGUUGCCCGGGAAUGUGCACGUGGUGCCACGUCGCACUUCGCCCGUCGCCCGGGAAUGUGCACGUGGUGCCACGUCGCAUGUCGCCCGGGAUUGUGCACGUGGUGCCACGUCGCACGUCGCCCGGGAUUGUGCACGUGCCCCUGCCUGCAGGACCCGGCUCUUCCUGUUUACUUCGUGUAAUUCUGGAGUUGUGCAUGAAUUUGUGGUAUCUUUGGACACGGGCCGCGCGGCCUUCGGUCUUCGGCGCCCUCAAGUGGUCGCUGUUCACCCCGCCCGGGCGCAGAGUCCGUUAGAAGCAGGGUGGGCCUCAGAGCCCUUCCCGCUUGCAGGAAGGUGGGCCACGUUCGCGCCACGAGCCAAAGCAGAGGAAGCUGUGAGACCUGCCCUCUUGCCCACUCACUGCACCGUCCAGCGUACGGUUCUUACGACAUUUUGGAAGUAUUUUAUGCAAGUUGUAGAUGUUCAGAACAGAAAAAUGUGAAAAUACACAUGAACACAACACAACAAAUUGUUUUCUUAUCAUUAGAGGAAACUUAACAGAUGGGUUGGAUGUGCACGGAAAUAUGUGUAUGACUGUGUCUUUAGGACGUGUAUCCACAUCCCUGUCUCUGUAUUUACUCUCUGUCCGUCUGCAUUAGUCCAUCCAUGUCUUCUGUCCAUCAUUUAUAUACCUAUGUCAUCCCUCUAUCUUCAUUCAUCUUUCAGUCCAUCCAUCCAUCUGUCAAUCUGUUUUUCCAUUUGUCUACCCAUCUAUCUUUGUACCUUCUAUAUCAUCCAUCUAUCAUCCAUCCAUCCUUCCAUCCAUCCAUUUAUCCAUCUGUUAUCUGUCCAUCUAUUUAUGUAACCAUUUAUCUGUUAAUCCAUCCUAUCCAUCAAUCUAUCCAUACAACAGUCUUUCUGUCUGUCUGUCUAUCCAUCCAUCCAUUCAUCUAGCUGAGCAUUGACCCCUUACCUGCUGCAGAGCUAACACAGUCAGAUCGAGGGGAGUCUAACGGAGAGAGUGCAGUGCUUUCACCAUUGCCAUGGCUGGUGCGAAGCACGGUGCACGGGCACCUCUCUGAUGCCUGCCCCGUGGAAAUGCGGUGCAUGCACCCAUGUUGCCUUGCUCAGUAAGGGCAUGUUAGUCAUUACGAUUUGUCUACUCUCUUGAAGACUUUGAGGUCAGUUUGGACUGACAGUCGCAUUGUCACCCCGAGAACCUGCCCUGGGCUGCCGCUCGACGCCUGGGCUUCUGCUGCCAGAGUCGGUACUUAUGGUUCAUCCUCCUUGGCGGUGGUUACGUUUGUGAAGUCACUGCAGACGCUGGAUCAGUGAACACUUACCCGUUGGUCCAGGAGACGUACAGGGCCAGGUUCCUGGGAGCCCCUUGUCACACUUUCAUCAGCCGAUCAGUAGAUGACCUUAUUUUGUAUGUGCUUCUGCUUAAAGACACUUAAUGCAGACUUCUGCUUGAUUAACCAUGAGUUCGACCUGAGUAAAGCUCAUCUCACACCCCCAUUUCCUCCUGAGACACGUGAGGGUGUCUCCAACUCAGGAGCGCUAGACACCAGCACCAUGCUUGGGGGCAGUUCUAAGCUGCAAAGUCACCAAAAGAAAGCACAAAAUGCAGACAAUUUAGCACUCGGUGGCCGGUGAGAAGGACGCUGUGUCCAGCCAGGGCAGGAAGAAGCAGGCAGAGGGCCACCUUGCUCCGCCACCGCGGGGAGCGUGAGCAGUCGGGCAGCUCAGCCUGUCCACCGCCCCCCGCGGGUCCUUGACCGACCGUAGCUGACCCUGGGCAAGCUGGAGCAGGUCCGCAGCCUGUCUGCCAUCUACCUGGAGAAGUGAGUGAGCCUGCGCGUGGCCCGGGAGCUGCGGCGGUGGGAGGGCUCUGAGCAGAGGGGGCCUGACCACUGUGUGCUGGCGGAGGACGAGCCGAUGGGGGCCGUGAGGACGGGUCUGCUGAGGGCUCUGGCCAAGAGACCAAACCCAAACCUUCAGAAAGCAUGACAUUGACCCCAUGUGGACAGCACCUGCAAGGACCCGGGAAGCCCUCGGACCCGCCCAACCUUUGUGAGGUGCCCCUCUGGCACCUAACUAGCAGACGUCUCACGGUACGUACUGGCUGAGGACGAAGGACAAGAACAGAAUUCAGAGUUACUCUAAUAAAUGGAAGGUUCACAUCAGUCCAUGUUGCCUUUGCAAGGAUUGGAGCUCUUGGAUCAUUGUUUUCUCCUUCUGUGGGGAACAUAAAGCUUCUCCAGCUCCUGGGCAGGCAGAGUGCGUCCCUCAGGAGUGCUGCGGAGAGAAGCCUGACUUUGCGGACACUGAGAGAGUGAGUCACCAGAGGACAAGGCUGCAGCUUGUCUGAAGUCCUCGUCCAGCUCAUGCCUCACUUCCCUUCACAGCUUCCGCUGGGGAAGGAGAAGCUGGACUGGAACAGUGUUUCUGGGAUUCUGCAACCCGCUGUGCAGCCCUUCAGCUUUCAAAAAUAGCAGUCAAAGUGAAUACAGUUAGUCAUUGUUAUUUACUCAGACAUGUGGGAUGUUUGUGUUGGCAUGGCAACAGGUGGCUAAAUAUUAAUCUUGAGCAUUUGUUUUCUUGCGGAUUUUUUGUGUAAUUUUCUUACGUCAGUGUCUGUCACCCACCCCAUUAAUCCAGUCAUCCAUCCUUCUUCUGUCUUCACAUUCAUUACCCACCUACCAACCCAUCCAGACAUCCGCCUUCCUGUCCAUCCAUCCAUCCAUCCAUCCAUCCAUCCACC